UUAUGUCCUUUAAUCCAUCUGAUCAAGAUAUAUCUUAUCGAGCCAGCCAACUAAGCAGUUCAAGAUGGAUGCUGAGAAAUUAAUCAUUCAUGAUGCACCUAUGAUUGGAUUCGAUGCAAUGAUGAGAGCCAAUUCCAUCCAGGAUGCACCUAUGAUUGGAUUCGAUGCAAUGAUGAGAGCCAAUUCCAUUCAGGAUGCACCUAUGAUUGGAUUCGAUGCAAUGAUGAGAGCCAAUUCCACGCUUGAAGAUUUUGUACGUACACUUUGACACCUUCGACAACCUUAGUUACCCUGUGCUUCUCUAAGACUAUGUGCUAAUACUAUCCUAUUGCCUUUUUUUUUUCCGAAGUUGUCAUGAUUUUACUUGUGAAAAAACCCCAUUGAACUCACUUAUGAACAUUAGGUUCAUAUCAAAAUAAGAUAAAUUGACAUGGAGUACAUUUUGCUCAUUCUUGAAUCACACCGGUUAAGAAUUUCAGACAGGAACUAUAUCAGUGAGAUGUCUGCAGCUUUGGCUGUUCUCAUGCAAGCACGUUUUUAUACUUUUGUAGUUUUGUUUCUUAAAUGUCCUUAUAGAUGUUACAUAGAAUGCUGCUAUUCUCAACUUUAUUUUUCUUGAAAUGGCAGUGCAGG
rnacentral:lncRNA from 1 species